AGCAUUCCGCGUAAGCCUACCAUGGAGAGGGCAGGCGCCGUCACAGAAACCACCGGGCGCUGCCAUCGAAGAGGAA
rnacentral:ribozyme from 17 species